rfam:Populus trichocarpa scaffold_7_contig_7, whole genome shotgun sequence.
ACCAAUUCUGGGGGAUUUAUCAGUUCCUCUUGGCAUAAUGGCUUGGGUGCUAGAACCAUAUUUUGUGGCUUAUCCUGAUUAGUGACUGAUAUCCGUGUCAUCUAAUCCUGGAAACACCACAUACAUUU